CUUUAAAGGAGAAGAUCCAGGGCUGUUGAAGCUGCGGUGGAACUGAGACAUCAUCAUCCACAUAUCUUCAGUUCUUCUUGCUAAGAGAACGAGAAACUCGGACACAACAGUACAUCCUGACCAUUGGUACUGUGUACACAUCAACAUACACACACGUCUCCAUGCUGGACAUCUCAGGAGCUUUCACACAGUGCUAGGAAUAUCCCGGGACAGAGAAACGCACCUUCUAAG